rnacentral:rRNA from 1 species
UACCAGCACCCGAGUGGUCGGGACGAUUAUUGGGCCUAAAGCAUCCGUAGCCGGUCCUACAAGUCUUCCGUUAAAUCCACCUGCUUAACAGAUGGGCUGCGGAAGAUACUAUAGGGCUAGGAGGCGGGAGAGGCAAGCGGUACUCAGUGGGUAGGGGUAAAAUCCUCUGAUCCAUUGAAGACCACCAGUGGCGAAGGCGGCUUGCCAGAACGCGCUCGACGGUGAGGGAUGAAAGCUGGGGGAGCAAACCGG